rnacentral:rRNA from 1 species
GACGAAUGCUGGCGGCGUGCCUAACACAUGCAAGUCGAACGGGACUGGGGGCAACUCCAGUUCAGUGGCGGACGGGUACGUAACACGUGAGGAACAUGACUUUCGGUGGGGGAUAGCCGGCCCAACGGCCGGGUAAUACCGCGUACGACCUUUCGGGGACAUCCCCGGUUGGUGAAAGCAGCAAUGCGCCGAAAGAGUGCCUCGCGGCCUAUCAGCUAGUUGGUGGGGUAAUGGCCCACCAAGGCGACGACGGGUAGCUGGUCUGAGAGGAUGGCCAGCCAGAUUGGGACUGAGACACGGCCCAGACUCCUACGGGAGGCAGCAGUGGGGAAUAUUGCGCAAUGGGCGAAAGCCUGACGCAGCGACGCCGCGUGUGGGAUGACGGCCUUCGGGUUGUAAACCACUGUCGGGAGGGACGAAUGCCCCGCAAGGGGAGUGACGGUACCUCCAAAGGAAGCACCGGCUAACUCCGUGCCAGCAGCCGCGGUAACAC